AUUAAUAAAAUUGAAGAGUAUUUCCUCCCAACUUCACAGGAUUUGCUUAAAUCCACAAAAGAAGAUUCUAAUGAAAUAAAGAAGAUCAUGGACAGCAUAAGAGCAUCUAUGAAGGCCGAAGCUGAGUCUCUAAAAAGAAUGCUGGAUGCCUUGACAUCAGAUAAUAUAAAACAAGUCAAUGAACAAGAAAAGUCUCUCCUUCAACUGUUAAAUUCCCAAGAAAAAAAAGUACAAUGAUUAUAUUUCUUAUCUUAACGAACUUGUCAAAAAGUUCCAUGGCUACCUUUCACCUAAAAAUCUUCAAAUCCUGAUGAGUGAAAUUACAAAGAAUCUCGAAAUAGACCCCAUACCAGAGACCACCAAACCAGUCCCUCCAGUAUUUAAUGCUGGUCAAUACAGCAAGGAAGAUGUCACCAAACUACUGGGUACAGUAAUUGUUCCUGACACUAAACCAGAGAACAGAAAAAUAAAACAAAUGGAGACUGUCUCGACCCAGUUGAAAUCUACAGAGAAACAAAAUAAACAAGACAGAGAGAAAUCAGACAUGAAACAAACACUGUCUCUGUCUUCCUCUGUGACCAAGGUCAGGGAGUACACAGUACCAGGUGUAAAUGAAGUAUGCCAUAUAUCACUAAGUAAAUCAGGCAGACUCUGGGCCAGUGAUGAUAGUGGUAACCUUGUCCAAGUAGAUCUAGAGGGGAAUCAGCUACAGAAGAUACAAACCAGUGGUCGAUUUCAAGGCUACCACACGGUCACACAGGACGGGGAUCUGAUCUUUACAGACAAAGAGAACAAAGUCAUCAAUAUGAUACAACAGGAUAAUACAGUCACUGAAUUUAUUAAAACAGGGGACUGGGAACCAAUCAGCAUACACUCCUCUCACAUCAACGGGGACAUACUGGUGGGAAUGAAAAAGGAUGGAGAGGCUAAAGUCACUAGGUACACCAUGACAGGAAAAGAAAUACAGAACAUACAGAGGGACAACAAAGGACAGGGACUGUAUAAUUAUCCAUACUACAUCACAGAAAACAUCAAUGGUGAUAUCUGUACAUCAGACCUUACCAAACGUGCUGUAGUGGUAGUGAAUAAAUCAGGACAGCACAUUUUCUUUUACAAAGUUCCGGGGUCAAAGAUUAUUCCUUUUGGUAUCUGUACUGAUAUCAUUGGUCACAUUCUGGUGUGUAAUGGUCGCAAUAAUAAAGUUGACAUCCUGGAUCUGGAGAGUCAUUUCUUGUUACAGCAAGGGAUGAUAGGUCCCCGCGGUCUGUGUGUGGAUGAUGAGAACAAUUUCCAUGUGGGGCAAUUUCACAUCAACACAGUGACGGUGUACAAGUAUCUAAAGUGAUCAUUACAACGGUUCUGAUAAUAUGCAAUAAUAAAAAGAUAUA
rnacentral:sRNA from 1 species